CAGGAUGAACGCUGGCGGCGUGCCUAAUACAUGCAAGUCGAGCGAGAAUCAGUGAUGUAGAGAUUCGUCAAAGCGGAUCUGAGGAAAGCGGCGGACGGGUGAGUAACGCGUAGGCAACCUGCCCUUAGCAGAGGGAUAGCCAUUGGAAACGAUGAUUAAAACCUCAUAAUGCUGUUUUUUACACAUGUAGAGACAGCCAAAGAUUUUAUCGGCUAAGGAUGGGCCUGCGUCUGAUUAACUAGUUGGUGAGGUAACGGCCCACCAAGGUGACCGAUCAGUAGCCGACCUGAGAGGGUGAUCGGCCACAUUGGAACUGAGACACGGUCCAAACUUCUACGGAAGGCAGCAGUAAGGAAUCUUGCACAAUGGGGAAACCCUGAUGCAGCAACGCCGCGUGAACGAUGAAGGCCUUAGGGUUGUAAAGUUCUGAUCUGUGGGAAGAAGAAGUGACGGUACCACAGGAGAAAGCCCCGGCUAAAUACGUGCCAGCCGCAGC
rnacentral:rRNA from 1 species